GACGAAGGGGGCUAGCGUUGUUCGGAAUUACUGGGCGUAAAGGGGCGCGUAGGCGGUCAGAUAAGUCAGCUGUGAAAACCUCGGGCUUAACCCGAGGCCCUGCAGUUGAAACUUGUUUGGCUGGAGUGUGGGAGAGGAGAGUGGAAUUCCCGGUGUAAGCGGUGAAAUGCGUAGAGAUCGGGAGGAACACCAGAGGCGAAGGGCGGCAGACCCUGGACAAGUACUGACACUCAACUACGAAAGCGUGGGGAGCAAACAGG
rnacentral:rRNA from 1 species